rnacentral:lncRNA from 1 species
GUUAGCCGUUUGACCAUGGUUAUUUUGACCAAAGUCCACUCCUCAUUCGGCGCUUUGUGGUAGCACCACCAGUCAAAAAAGGCCCAAAACACCCGAGGGUACAGUGUUCCCCCACGUUUUUAAGACGCUUUGAGAGAGGUUUGCGCCCCACCACAUGUGGUCUCACAAAACUUCAAAUCUAUGGACGUGUGGUUUCUCAACCCUCUUCAAAAGACGUCACAAACAUGACUUCGAAAAUCUUGUAAUCAUCACCGAGAGUCACGAAUAA